rnacentral:rRNA from 1 species
GAGUAGAACGACUGGCCGGCGGUGCUUAACACAUGCAAGUCGAACGGAACAUUUUAUUGAGGCUUCGGCAGAUUUAGUUUGUUUCCAGUGGCGGACGGGUGAGUAACGCGUGGGUAACCUGCCUCACACUGGGGGAUAACAGUCAGAAAUGGCUGCUAAUACCGCAUGAGACCACAGCUCUGCAUGGAGCAGUGGCUAAAGGAGAAAUCCGGUGAAGGGUGGGCUCGCGUCCGAUUAGCUAGUUGGCAGGGUGAUAGCCUACCAAGGCGACGAUCGGUAGCCGACCUGAGAGGGUGAUCGGCCACAUUGGAACUGAGAUACGGUCCAA